rnacentral:rRNA from 1 species
GUGAGGAAUAUUGGUCAAUGGGCGAGAGCCUGAACCAGCCAAGUCGCGUGAAGGAAGAAGGAUCUAUGGUUCGUAAACUUCUUUUGCAGGGGAAUAAAGUGCAGGACGUGUCCUGUUUUGUAUGUACCCUGAGAAUAAGGAUCGGCUAACUCCGUGCCAGCAGCCGCGGUAAUACGGAGGAUCCGAGCGUUAUCCGGAUUUAUUGGGUUUAAAGGGUGCGUAGGUGGUUUGAUAAGUCAGCGGUGAAAGUUUGCAGCUUAACUGUAAAAAUGCCGUUGAAACUGUCGGACUUGAGUGUAAAUGAGGUAGGCGGAAUGCGUGGUGUAGCGGUGAAAUGCAUAGAUAUCACGCAGAACUCCGAUUGCGAAGGCAGCUUACUAAGCUACAACUGACACUGAAGCACGAAAGCGUGGGGAUCAAACAGGAUUAGAAACCCCAGUAGUCA